CAGAAGUCAGGUCGGAUUAAGCCAUAGUACGGAAAAAACUAUGCUACCUGUGAGCCCCGUCCAAGGACGUUAAAAGAAGUCAGGCCACUACAAGUGCCAUAGCUUGAGUAAACUAUGCAGCCUGUAGCUCCACCUGAGAAGGUGUAAAAAAUCUGGGAGGCCACAAACCAUGGAAGCUGUACGCAUGGCGUAGUGGACUAGCGGUUAGAGGAGACCCCUCCUUUACAAAUCGCAGCAACAAUGGGGGCCCAAGGUGAGAUGAAGCUGUAGUCUCACUGAAAGGACUAG
rnacentral:lncRNA from 1 species